AUUGAACGCUGGCGGCAUGCCUUACACAUGCAAGUCGAGCGGGUGGAGUUCUUCGGAACAAAGCUAGCGGCGGACGGGUGAGCAACACGUGGGCAACCUGCCUCAUAGAGGGGAAUAGCCUCCCGAAAGGGAGAUUAAUACCGCAUAAGAUUGUAGCUUCACAUGAAGUAGCAAUUAAAGGAGCAAUCCGCUAUGCGAUGGGCCCGCGGCGCAUUAGCUAGUUGGUGAGGUAACGGCUCACCAAGGCGACGAUGCGUAGCCGACCUGGGAGGGGGAUCGGCCACAUUGGGACUGAGACACGGCCCAGACUCCUACGGGAGGCAGCAGUGGGGAAUAUUGCACAAUGGGGGAAACCCUGAUGCAGCAAUGCCGCGUGAGUGAUGACGGCCUUCGGGUUGUAAAGCUCUGUCUUCGGGGACGAUAAUGACGGUACCCGAGGAGGAAGCCACGGCUAACUACGUGCCAGCCGCCGCCGUAAGAC
rnacentral:rRNA from 1 species